rfam:Dipodomys ordii contig_37782, whole genome shotgun sequence.
GGUGGCUCAGUGGCAGAGCGCUUGCCUUGCGUGCAUGAGGCCUGGGUUCGAUUCCUCAGCACCA